rnacentral:rRNA from 1 species
GUCUACAGCCAUGCCACCCUGAACACGUCUGAUCUCGGAAGCUAAGCAGGAUCGGGCCGGGUUGUACUUGGAUAGGAAACCGCCUAGGAAGACCAGGUGCUGUAGAUG